rnacentral:rRNA from 1 species
UACGUAGGGUGCAAGCGUUGUCCGGAAUUAUUGGGCGUAAAGAGCUCGUAGGCGGUCUGUCGCGUCUGCUGUGAAAACUCGGGGCUUAACCCCGGGCCUGCAGUGGGUACGGGCAGACUAGAGUGCGGUAGGGGAGACUGGAAUUCCUGGUGUAGCGGUGAAAUGCGCAGAUAUCAGGAGGAACACCGGUGGCGAAGGCGGGUCUCUGGGCCGAUAUUGACGCUGAGGAGCGAAAGCGUGGGGAGCGAACAGG